CACGUAGGGCGCAAGCGUUGUCCGGAAUUAUUGGGCGUAAAGAGCUUGUAGGCGGUUUGUCGCGUCUGCUGUGAAAUCCGGGCUCAACCCGGACUUGCAGUGGGUACGGGCAGACUAGAGUGUGGUAGGGAGACUGGAAUUCCUGGUGUAGCGGUGAAAUGCGCAGAUAUCAGGAGGAACACCGAUGGCGAAGGCAGGUCUCUGGGCCACUACUGACGUGAGAAGCGAAAGCAUGGGGAGCGAACAGG
rnacentral:rRNA from 1 species